GAUGAACGCUGGCGGCGUGCCUAAUACAUGCAAGUCGAGCGAAUGGAUUAAGAGCUUGCUCUUAUGAAGUUAGCGGCGGACGGGUGAGUAACACGUGGGUAACCUGCCCAUAAGACCGGGAUAACUCCGGGAAACCGGGGCUAAUACCGGAUAACAUUUUGAACCGCAUGGUUCGAAAUUGAAAGGCGGCUUCGGCUGUCACUUAUGGAUGGAUCCGAGUCGCAGUAGCUAGUUGGUGAGGUAGCGGCUAACCAAGGCAACGAUGCGUAGCCGACCUGAGAGGGGGAUCGGCCACACUGGGACUGAGACACGGCCCAGACUCCUACGGGAGGCAGCAGUAGGGAAUCUUCCGCAAUGGACGAAAGUCUGACGGAGCAACGCCGCGUGAGUGAUGAAGGCUUUCGGGUCGUAAAACUCUGUUGUUAGGGAAGAACAAGUGCUAGUUGAAUAAGCUGACACCUUGACGGUACCUAACCAGAAAGCCACGGCUAACUACGUGCCAGCAGCCGCCGUAA
rnacentral:rRNA from 1 species